rnacentral:sRNA from 1 species
ACUUUGCUUUUGCUCACCCUUCCUGUUGAUCUCCCUGCUUUGUGUUUUCUUCUGGUAACAUCACAUAGUUGUCAGCUGUUCCUCUUGUUUGACUGCCAGCCCCUGUGGGGAAAUCAGGGUUUCCAGGCCCAAGCGCUGGGCAGCCAGGGUAAGGUGCAGCUCUCUCUCCCUGCAGACUGAGUAUCGUAAUAAGUGUGAGUUUCUGGUUGGCGUCGGGGUGGAUGGGGAGGAUAACACCGUGGGCUGUCGGCUCGGCAAGUACAAGGGCGGGACGUGUGCUGUGGCAGCCCCGUUUGACACCGUGCACAUCCCCGAAGCCACCAAGCAGGUGGUGAAGGCCUUCCAGGAGUUCAUCCGGUCCACUCCAUACUCGGCAUACGACCCAGAGACGUACACAGGCCACUGGAAGCAGCUGACUGUGCGCACUAGCCGCCGCCGCCAGGCCAUGGCCAUUGCCUACUUCCACCCCCAGAAGCUGAGCCCUGAGGAGCUGGAAGAGCUGAAGACCUCCCUAGCACAGCACUUCACAGCAGGGCCAGGCAGGGCCAGUGGAGUGACCUGCCUCUACUUCGUGGAGGAGGG